UAAUAUAUAAUAUAUUAUUUAUCCCGUACUUCAUAUUUAUACAUAUUAAGAAAACAAUAUUCAAUCCAUCAAACAGAAAUCUUACAACACACACACACACACACACGCAUAUAUAUCCUUAACCAACUUCAGCCAUGCCUGCAUCUAAAUCAUCAUUACCUAAUAAGUAUGUUCCAUGUUUCAAAGUUGUUAACUUGUUAACCACCUAGCAGCUUAGGGGUAACAAAAGUAUAAGAGAAUGUACUAGGAUACAGUCUGUAGGAUCUUGUAAGCAUUUCCUAAAAGGUUUCCAUUUUAUCAAAAGAACCCAGAAACUUUUCUGUUAAUAUCAGUACUCUUAAACAUGUCUGAGUGGUUAUCCAAGGACAGAAUUUUAACAAGGUCAAGAAUCCAAGAAACACAGCAUGGAAAUAAUCAAAGGCAAUAAUAAAGACAGAUGUCCCAUAUAUCCCAUAGUAGUAGGAACCAGCAGCCCCAUGAGUAGUCAACCUACAAGGCUCGAGUGAUGAUUUGUCUGAGUCUAAAAGGAAAAUGUUGCCUUCAUUCUAAAUUCUUGCACAUGAUUAUCAUUUGGAAAAUUCAUUGCGGAGUAGGAUAACAGAUUGAUUAGAGGAUAGUAAAUGUUUUCUCUUUCUCCAUUUUUAAGUUACCUAAAAUCCCAGGAGCUCCAGGUUGCAGAUGAACUCUGGAGCUAAGGGCCCUAAGGGGCAGGUAGUACAGCAUCAUUGGACUAUCAUACCCCCUCAGCAACUUUGUGAAAAAUGAGAGAGAAAGGGAAGAGAGAGAGAGAGAGAGAGAGAGAGACGUAACCUUCCAACUUGUUUNNNNNNNNNNNNNNNNNNNNUUAGUAGAAAGAGAGAGAGAAGGAAGAGAGAGAGAGAGAGAGAGAGAGAGAACCUUUCCCAACUGUUUAUAGCCCUCUUCUACUGAGGUUGCAACAUUCU
rnacentral:lncRNA from 1 species